rnacentral:lncRNA from 1 species
ACCUUCAUUUGCUGCAUCAAGGCAGUAAUUUAUGCGUCCGUAGUAAUUACAGGAUGCGAAGAGCUGGGCUCUGCCAAUAGAAGAGGAAAAAGAAUAUCUUUUCGGCGGAAAGAUUGCCUUGCGGAUCCUGUUGAAUGCUGAGCUCUGUUCUUAGCCAUGAUUGCUCGUAUCCUUCCCUUGGCGCGCCAAUUGUUACCGUCAAUCUCCUAUUGCAUCCAUUACUGGAGAAGAGCACCUGCAAAAGAAGUCCACACUGAUCGAAGUUGUGUCCGGCAGAGACCUUCCGAUGCUUAAGUCAGUAAAGAGUGGUGAACAGUAGAUAGAAAAUUCAAAAUAGCA